rnacentral:misc_RNA from 1 species
GAAAUGCGAUAAGUAGUGUGAAUUGUAGAAUUCAGUGAAUCAUCGAAUCUUUGAACGCACAUUGCGCCCUUUGGUAUUCCUUAGGGCAUGCCUGUUCGAGCGUCAUUUGUAACCUCAAGCUCAGCUUGGUGUUGGGUGUCUGUCCCCGCCCCGCGCGGGGACUCGCCUCAAAAACAUUGGCGGCCGGUACGUUGGCUUCGAGCGCAGCAGAAACGCGAACUCGAGGCCCGACGGAUCGGCGACCAGAAGUCACUUCUUCCACAGCUUGACCUCGGAUCAGGUAGGGAUACCCGCUGAACUUAAGC